rnacentral:lncRNA from 1 species
CGGCGGCGGCGGGGAGCGGGAGAAUUGGGGGCGAAGACGAGGAGGCCGGGAAACUUUGGCGGCCCUAGAGAGUGGGGAGAAAGAAGGGAGCGGCGCCGAACAGAGCGCCAAUUGCCUCCCAAGAGGAGGACGAUUCGUAAAAUUCUGCCGUUUUCAGGGGUGGUGUUUGUUUUUUCCAAAAAGUUUUGGAAUAUCUUUCCCUGGCGUGUAUGAGUUGCGUACGUCACUGUGUU